rfam:Fukomys damarensis contig117103, whole genome shotgun sequence.
AAGUUCAGCAGCAUGAAUAAAAAAACUAGAACAACACAGAGAUUACCAGAGCCCGUGUACAAGGGUGACACCCAAAUUUGUGAAGCAUUUUAUAUAUAU